AGAAAAAAAAUCAAUGAUAUUUUUGUUGUUGUAAAUUGACAUGCAUUUAGCUGUGUACUUAUAUUAUUUGUGCUCUUUUUCUCUAUUGAAUUAAUUGAAAGUUGAAAAAAAAAAAAAGAGUUUGUUGAAAUCUAUAUAUCUAUAUCUAUAUCUAUAUAUAUAUCUAUAUAAAUAUGUUUGUUUCCCUUCUACGCUGUCCGGAUGCCACGUCAUUAAUUUGUGUGUCUGUGUGCUGACACGUGUCCCACAUCCAAAAGGCAACUCUUCAACAUUUGGGUACGAGACGAUCAAUCUUCCUCAAGGUUUCUGAAACUGAGUGCGUUAUGGAUUCGUACAGUUCUUCAAUGCUUUGUUUGCAAUGGCGAGGAUCUGUGAUAUCAUGUAUAAAAAAGUCAGUAUUUCUCUUCUGAAGAUCACGAUCUCUUCAUCGGACCUGAAAUCAAUCCACCGUCUCUCACCUGCGAUCAUUGCAUGAAGACGGAGUCGUUGCCGUGACGUUCGAUAUUCACUUCACCACCUCUGGUCAAUCAAGACGUGAUGGUUUAGGGGUGCAUUUCAAUCAACUUAAUUAUGCUUCUGCUCCUUACCUCCGUUGCCAAAACUGUAAAGGAAAUCUUCUGCGUUUUUAGGGGCAAGCAGCAACGGAUUAGCGAUAGUCCUCCUGAUCCAAUCAAGCUUACCUUCACUUCAUCCUACAAACGGUUUCUCAUCUCUCUUAAUUUAGAUGGAUAGGUGAAAACAUCAAAUCUCAUCAUUCAUACUGCUGAUCACAAAAAAAGCUCCCAUUCUGUUUAUUCUGUUGUAAAGGAGACUUUAUGAAACAAUUUUAUAUGCAGAAACCGUUUGGCGUGUAAGUAUAUUGAAGAAUGGGUAAACUAUUAAAGAGGUGACGGAGAAGUUCGUUGAGAGAUACACUAACAUUAAAUUUCUGCAAGGCUAUGGCUUGACUGAGACGGCGGCUAUAGUUGCUUCUAUGUUUACUAAAGAGGAGACUGAGAGGUACGGAUCCUCUGGUUUGCUUGCUCCGAACAUGGAUGGUAAGAUUGUGGAUCCGGAUACGGGUCGGGUCUUGGGGGUGCAUCGAACCGCGGAGCUCUGGCUCCGGAGUCCUACCGUGAUGAAAUGUGAUUGGUUCUUCUCGAAAAGGUGUUUUUGUUUUUGGUAUGAAACUGUUUUGAGUUGUUUUUAAAAGGUUAUUUUAAGAACGAGGAAGCUACUGCAUCUACUAUUGAUUCAUAAGGAUAGUUGAAGACUGGAGAUUUGUGUUACAUUGACGGUGAAGGUUUUGUCUUUGUUGUUGAUAGAUCAAAUGCAAUGGUUAUCAGGUAAUAAACACAAAUCUUUCUUCAUGUGUGGAUCAUCUUUUGUAAAGUUUGUGUGUUUUGGUAAUGGUUUAAAAUGUUUGUUAGGUUGCUCCAGCUGAGCUUGAAGCAUUGUUGUUUGCUCAUCCAGAGAUUGCUGAUGCAUCAGUAAUACCGUAAGGACUUUUUCUUUUAACAUGAUAGAGAUUGCUAAAUUCUUCUCUUUUUAAUGACCUUUUUUUCUGUAGCUAUUUACUUUUUCUUUCUUAUGUUUUUUGAAGUAUCCCUGACUUGAAACCUGGGCAAUAUCCAAUGGCAUAUAUCGCAAGAACAGCUGGAAGUAACUUAUCCGAAAAAUCCCUCUGGCAAAAUUUUAAGAAGAGAACUUAUAAAUCUCACAAACUCGAAGCUCUAGCAAACCACUCUAUCUUACAUUUCACCGUUAGUUAACUCAUUUAUUUGGUUAACCGAUUAUUUAUUUCUCUUACAUAAAUCUCUGUCAAAACUGAAUAUUGAUUUUGCUCAGCCUGUGAGUUCUCACCUCUCCCUGUGUCGACGUGUUCCUCUUCUUGGUGUCUCUGUUUCUCAUAUCUGCUAUUGUUGAUUUUGUCUAAAAGCAGCAGGUCUAUUCUAAGUUGCUGCGUCCAAGUUUCGUUACGGUCCGAGCCAUGUCAGAGUCUCAGACAGCUCUAAAGAAUCAGCCACAGUCCUCGGCCUCCUCUGGGAAGAAGCAAGCUUUGAUAUCUUUAUCUGACAAGUAGGAUUUAGCUACUCUUGGCAACGGUCUUCAAGAUCGGGUAUGUUUUAUUUCAUAAUUUUUAGUUAUGUUUCUGUUCUAAUAAGUGUUUAUGGAUUGAAAAAUGAUUCCUUUUUUUCAUUGUUUCUACUGGAGGAACUGCCUCUACCUUGGAGAAUGCUGGAGUCUCUGUCACUUACAAAGUGGAGACGCUUACUCAUUUCCUGAAAUGGCAAGUUUCAUUCUUUAGCUGGUGGUAAUGAUUAAGCAGUUGAGUUUGGUAUAUUAAGCUUACCUCUCAUUUUGUUUUUUUUUUUCCUUCGCAGAAAAGCAGCUUGAUGGCCGUGUGAAGAGUUUGCACCCAAACAUACACGGUGGUAUCCUCGCUAGAAGAGAUGUGGAGCAUCAUAUGGAAGCUCUUAAUGAGCAUGGCAUUAGUACAUUUGAUGGAAAUUUAUUGUGGAACCGAACUAUUCCUCCGCCAUCUCCAAUAAGACCUGAAAGAUUGGAUGUUUCAGAUAAUCCAACGGCAAAACAAACCCCCUGCCUUCUCUGUUGUACACAGAGAAGUGUCCUUUCUUACACUGCCUCCACUUCUCCAUCAUAUUGGUGAGUUUAAGACUCUUGCAAGAUCCUUUCUUCAUAUGUUUCGACUCUGAUGUCUCUGCUCUUUGAUCUGUUACUAACAUAAUACCGUUGUGUAUACUAUUUGUUAGACUGUUACUGUCUGAAGCUAUACCUUCCUCUCUCUCCAUGUAUACUACAAAACGUGAUUAGUGUUUGUGAAAAUAUCUCGAACAAAAAUUAUGAUUCUUAAAUAACUAAUAAAAAGAAUAUGAUUUUUUUUAAAAAAAUAAUUCAAUAACAUAAAAAUAAUUCUGAAAAUGAGAAUUUAUUUUACAAUAACAAAUAAUCCGCGUGAAACACAAGAAAUACGAGAAACUAAAAAAAUAUUAUGAAAAUGGAAUAAGUCACAUAAUUUUAAAAGAUUUUUAACAAUUAAUUGAGAAAAAUAUAAUAAAAUAGAACUAAAAGAAUUAAUUAUAAAAAUAAAUGAAAAUUGUAAUUAUAUAAUAACACAUUAAAGAAACCAUAUGCAAAUAAAUGUAGUAACU